GAUGAAGAACGCAGCGAAAUGCGAUAAGUAAUGUGAAUUGCAGAAUUCAGUGAAUCAUCGAAUCUUUGAACGCACAUUGCGCCCGCCGGUAUUCUGGCGGGCAUGCCUGUCUGAGCGUCAUUUCAACCCUCAUGCCCCUAGGGCGUGGUGUUGGGGAUCGGCCAAAGCCCGCGAGGGACGGCCGGCCCCUAAAUCUAGUGGCGGACCCGUCGUGGCCUCCUCUGCGAAGUAGUGAUAUUCCGCAUCGGAGAGCGAUGAGCCCCUGCCGUUAAACCCCCAACUUUCCAAGGUUGACCUCAGAUCAGGUAGGAAUACCCGCUGAACUUAAGCAUAUCAAUAAGCGGAGGA
rnacentral:misc_RNA from 1 species